UUUUUUUGACGAAAAGGGGUUUCCCCCCACCCCAACUUUUAUAAAAGCCAAGGCAAAACAACCAGGCGCGGACUGUUAAACAGCGCUCGACGACAGAGAGUAGCUACCGCAGAUAGGAAGGGUUUUAGGACUACCCUAUUACAAGCUCAAGGCUAUUCGAGCACAAGCAGUAGCGAUUACAUUUCCAGCAACUUCAAACUUAAGAAACACCUAAGAACUCCAUGCAAUUCUAAGCAAUUCCCCUCUUCGAUGGUCCAAGAGCCUUAAGCACCGGAGAAGUAGCGCAGCCUGAGCUUCUGAGCAUAACACUUUUCAGUUCUUGAUCGUCGCCCCCAACAGGUCCAAGACACAUCUCAUACCUCGCCAUCUUCGCCCCUGGAAAACAAAAUCAUUCCGAAGACGCCAUAAGCUCCACAAGGCAGCAGCAGAAACAACAUUCAAAGCUUCAUAGUGUUUCCUUCUCUUCCAGAAGGAAGUUAAUUGAUUAAAGGAAUUAGGAACAUCUAUAGAAAAGAUCUCAGCAACUAAAGUCCAGACAAAUUUAGCAACAAUACAAUCAAAAAACAAAUGUUGGAUAGAUUCAGGUUCACAGCAAAAGACACAGGACAUGUCUUCAACAUGCCUGCGCUUGGCUAGAUUGUCUCUUGUCAAGCUCUUGUUAUAAUAAACUAGCCAGAGAAAUACAUGUAUGUUUGGUGGUACUUUGAUCUUCCAUAUGUCAUCUUUAAUGACAGAGGGAAUCCCACCAAAGUUGAUCAACUUGUAAAAGGAUUUUACAGAGUAUGUGUUAGAAGAAUCUAACAUCCAAAGUGGUUGAUCUGGAACAUCAGACAAGCAAACAGUUUUAACCAUCUCAGUUAGUUCCUCCCAUCUAGCUAAUGUAUCAUCUGAAACACACCUCCUAAAUGAAAGCCGCAGCUCACCAUCUACCCAGACCUGGGCCAGGGUAGACUCCUGCUGUUGGCAGAUGCUGUAAAGAUCCCAAAAUGCAGUUUUCAAAGAACACUCUCCUACCCAGGUAUCAUGCCAGAAGACAAUGCUAGUUCCAUCUCCAGGAACCCAUCUAUAAAAGUUCUUAGCAGCUGCAAGAGCCCAGGAUAAACUUUUCAUAAAAGGAGAACCAAGAACCACCCUAGUAUUAAAAAAGUUAGGGCAGGUGGUAUUAUAUUUAUAUUUCAACAUUUUCUUCCAUUCACUGUUUUUCUCAUCAUAAAAUCUUUUUCCCCAUGAUGCCAAUAGAGCCAUAUUAAAUUCUCUAAGAUUGGGUACCCCCAAGCCACCAAAUUCCUUUUUCCUAGAUAUCAGACCCCAAUUAGCAAGAUGGUAUUUAUGAGAAUCUCCCAUGUUACCCCAAAAGAAGUGAGACAUUUGAGAAGUAAUCAUGUCAAUAGCCCAUUUGGGAAAUUUCAUAAUAGACAUAAGAUAAGCAGGAAUACUAGCGAUGCAUGUGGUAAGCAAAAUUAGUUUCCCUCUAUAGGAUAGAAAUCUACCCAACCAGCCUGAAAUGUUUUUAAUAAUCCUAUCUAUAAUGGAUUGUAUGUCCUCCCUCCUCAACUUCUUAAAGUGGAGGGGGACACCUAAGUAUUUGAAAGGGAAAUCCCCCAUCUGGCAGCAAAAAACUUGGGCAAAUUCAUUAGACAGCUGUUCAGAGACAUUAAUAACAUGCAAAUCACUCUUGUGGAAGUUAAUUUUCAACCCAGACAGAUGUUCAAAGCAAGAAAGAAUCCAUUUCAAAUUUUUUGCAUACUCCAGUGAAUUUUCUAAAAAUAGAAUGGUGUCAUCAGCAUAUUGGAGGCUGACCACACCACCAGGGAAUGCAUGAGGCAGAAGCCCACGAAUCAAACCAAUAUUUGUAGCUUUUUGCAGCAUUUUUGUAAACACAUCAGCUACUAAAUUAAACAGAAGGGGUGAAUGGGGGUCACCCUGUUUCAAACCCUUCCCCCCCAGAAAACUGGGGACCAUUAGCAUCAUUGAUCCUAACUUGGAAGGUGCUUUGAUGAAUGGUGAAGAUCACCCAUUCCACCCAUUUAUUACCAAAUCCUCUAGAUAGAAGCAUCUCUUUUAAGAAAUCCCAGCUCACUCUAUCAUAUGCUUUCUCAUAAUCUAACUUAAGGACCAAACCAGCAGUCUCAGAUCUAUGGACUUCAUGGAUGACCUCAUGAGCCAUAACCACACUCUCCAAGAUAAACCUCCCUUUGAUAAAUGCAGUCUGAUUAGAGGAAAUCAGUCUGUCACAUAAGGGGGAGGCCCUAGUAGUCAUGGCUUUAGAGAAAAUUUUAACAGCACAAUUACUAAGGCUAAUGGGCCUGAAAUUCUUCAUGUCCUUAGCCAUAGGUAUCUUGGGGAUAAGGGUAAUAAUGGCAUGGUUGAGUUUAUAUAUAUCAAGGGCACCUCUUUCAAAAUCUCUCACCAUCCAUAGGAAAUAUUUCCUAAUCAAAUCCCAAAAAUUUUGAUAGAAAAGAAAUGACAGGCCAUCAGGGCCAGGUGCACCACUAGCAUAUGAACUCAUCACAGCUUGUUUAAUCUCUUCCUCAGAAAAAGGUCUCUCCAGAUAUUCUCUCUCAUCAGCACUUACCAUUUCAUCACCAGACCAGAAAUUAUUAUCCAAAUGGAUAUCAGGUUUAGGUUCAAAGGCAAAUAACUCUUUAUAAAAAGAGGUAGCCACCUCAAGCAUCUCUCCAGUUGAAGUGACCACACCAUUGGGGCUAUUCAACUCAGAGAGGUGAUUUUUCCUGUGUCUGUGAUUGGCUAGCGCAUGAAAGUAAGCAUUGUUCCUAUCACCCUCUAAAAUUUUUCUAUCUCUAGAUCUCUGCCAGAGGGCAGUUUCCUCUUUCUUCCACAACUCAUCUAACUCCUUAAUCUCUCUCAUCCUGUCAAAGUCAGCAGUAGAUAACUGAUGAGUUUCAGACAUGACAUCCAAUAUAUCAAACUCCAGAAGGAGUUCCCUCUUCUUUUUCUUAAGAGCAGCCUCCCUAUUAAUGUUCCAACCUUUGAUUUUUUUUCCUAAGAUUCUUAGUUUUACACAGCCAGUUCUCAGCCGAGGAUCUGUCUGAAGAAAUAGAAUUCCAUGCUUCCACCACCACUUGAUGGAAGUCUGGUUGUGAAAGCCACCAUUUCUCAAACCUGAAUGGUUUGGGGGUGGUGGGGGCUCUGGCACCAGUAUCUAGGAUCAAGGGGGUAUGAUCACUUCCCACCCUGGGGAGAGCAACUAAAGUAGAGAAAGGAAAAUGUGUAUCCCAGUUCACAGAAAUGAACACUCUGUCUAAUACAGCAAACACAGGUGAAACCUGAUUGUUAGACCAUGUGAACACCCUAUUAGAGAUAGAAAUCUCCAUCAGGGCCCAUCUAUUGACCCAAUCAUUGAACAAGAAAGUAGUUUGUUGAUUAAUCAAGCCACUACUCUUCUCCUUAUCAUUCCUAACCAGAUUAAAAUCUCCACAGAUCAUAAUUGGAUAAGAGGCAAUAGAUAAGGUAUCAUGUAGUUCAGUAAUAAAAUCUAUCUUAAAUUCAGGGUAAGCAGACCCAUAAACCAACACCAAUUGCCAAACGAAACCAUCAGACUUAUUUUUAAUGGUAGCCACAAUUGAAAACUUUUGAUUAAUAAAACCAAUCACUUCAAAACAAUCUGUUUUGAAACCCACAAGGAUCCCACCCGCAGUAUUAUCAGCUGGUAAAAAAUGCCAAGCAAAAUCACCACAUUUAUCAAUGGACUUGAGGAAACCCUCAGAAAUAAUUUCUCUCUUAGUCUCUUGAAAACCAAUAAAAUCAGGUUUAGAUUUGGCAAUAGUGUAAGGGCAUAUUUAUCCCUAAGUGUUUUGGUGAUUGAUGACAAUACUCGUGCAGACUAAUCGUGUGCCUUGAGUCCCACAGAUACUUCUUCAUUAGGCACAAGAUGAUUCGGUGCCCCUCGAAGACUAGUGAAGCCGUCGUUGUUCUACGUUUCUCUUUGGUGGAGUUGAGUCGUAGGAGAGCCGUACUAUUAAGAGGGGGUCCGCGUCGGAAAGGUAGGGUGGAAUCUCACGUACACUUGCCCCUCCUUUCCUUGCACUUUGGAGCUACCCAUCGUUAUCAUUGUUGUGCGAAAAACUGACGACUACUGCUGUACUUGCGGUAGUACCGCAAGUACACGCGGUAGUACCGCGACAGGUCACGGUAGUACCGCCCCUCUGGCGCGGUAGUACCGCGGUACCUUGGCCUAGUGCUGCUCCAGUGCGGUAGUAGGGGCGGAUGUAAUUUUUUACAUCCGCGCCCCUCACGGUAGUACCGCUCCUCUGGUGCGGUAGUACCGCCGCACUCUGGCCUAGUGCCGCUCCGGUGCGGUAGUAGGGGCGGAUGUAAUUUUUUACAUCCGCGCCACCCACGGUAGUACCACUCGUCCUGCGCGGUAGUACCGCGGGCGCUCACGGUAGUACCGCUCCUUUGGAGUUGUAGUACCGUGGCCCUUCUGCCUAGUACCGUUGCGUCGCGGUAGUAGGCGCGGAUGUAAUUUUUUACAUCCGUGCCUACCACGGUAGUACCGCGCCUUACAGGCGGUAGUACCGCGUCGGGUUUUUGCACCACCCUAGUUUCUGCGGAAGUUGACACGGAUGAAAUUUAUUUCGUCCGCGCCCUUCCCAGGCCGUGACCCUCCUGCCUUGCGGUAGUACCACAAGGGGGAGCGGUAGUACCGCACCAGCGGUAGUACUGCUUCUAGCUCAGGCUUGUUCCGGCCUGUGCAGCUGCCACGGUAGUACCGUGAUCUCCCACGGUAGUACCGCGCGUCGUCGCGGUAGUACCGCUCCCUUAGAGCGGUAGUACCGUGAGUCGCGGGCAGAACUAGUGGAUAACGGUUGGAUCUUUUCCCCGACUAUAUAAGGGAUGCCUUCUACCUCUAGUUGACUACCUCUUCCACCUCCAAGCUCCAUUGUUGCUCCAAGCUCCAUUUUCGCUCGAUCUCUCUUCCUAGCCAAUCAAACUUGUUGAUUUGCUCGGGAUUGGGUGACAAGGGCCCGAUCUACACUUCCACCAAAGGAUAUUUGAUUCCCCCACUUAUCCCUUGCGGAUCUUGUUACUCUUGGGUGUUGAGCACCCUAGACGGUUGAGGUCACCUCGAAGCCAUACUCCAUUGUGGUGAAGCUUCGUGGUGGUGUUGUUGUUGGGAGCCUCCGAUUGUUGUGGAGAUUGCCCCAACCUUGCUUGUAAAGGUUCGGUCGCCGCCUUCAACGGCACCAAUAGUGGAAUCACGGCAUCUCGCAUCGUGUGAGGGCAUGAGGAGAAUACGGUGGCCCUAGUGGCUUCUUGGGGAGCAUUGUGCCUCCACACCGCUCUAACGGAGACGUACUUCCCCUUAAAAGGAAGGAACUCCGGUAACACAUCCUCGUCUUCACCGUCUCCACUCUUGGUUAUUUCGUGCCUUUACUUUUGCAAGCUUACUUAUUGUUACAUCUCUUGCUUGCUUGUGUGCUAGUUGUUAUUGCAUCAUAUAGGUUGCUCACUUAGUUGCAUAUCUAGACAACCUAUUUGUUGCGAAGUUUAAUUUGGUAAAGAAAAGCUUAAAAAUUGUUAGUUGCCUAUUCACCCCCCCUCUAGUCAACCAUAUCGUUCCUUUCAAUUGGUAUCAGAGCCUCGUCUCUUUAUUAAGGACUUCACCGUCCGAAGAGUAUGGUUGACACCCACGAUGGUGUGGAGGAACACUCCGGUGUGAAUCCUAUCUCAUCUUCGGACGAAGGGGGAACCUCGGUCUCUCGUGAGGAGUUCAAUGUGGAUUUGGACACAUUGAAAACCUCCAUGACGGCCGAGGUUAAAAGCAUGUUUAAUGAUUUCUUAGAGGGACUUAAACUAUCUACCGCACCUAUGAAAGUGGGUGAUCCCACUAACAAGGUGACGGAUGCUUUCUCCGAUAAGGGGGAAGCUAACAAUGAAAAGAGUCCUUCUACUAGUGGUAGAAAUGGCACCGGCAUCUUUGCCCAUGUGGAACCCCCGGUCUAUGGAGGGCCUAUCCCCUCCACUCAUUUGAAUCAUGCCGGUCCACCUCCUAAGUAUGAAAAAGGUGUAGAUUUUGAUAAUUGGGUCUAUCGCUUUAAGCGUCAUUUGAAACAUGUGAACACUAACCUUUGGAGAGUCAUUGAAGAAGGUUUUUAUCCUCAUGACCCAAGCAACUUCACCCCUCGAGAAGCCGUGGACAAUCAAUUCAAUGAGAGUGCUCUCUUCAUUAUUCAAGAUGCAAUUCUUCCCGAAGAUCUCCCUCACCUUCGACCCCAUGUCGUUGCUAAAGAAGCAUGGAAAUGUGUUGAGGGCCUCUAUCGUGGAAGUGCUAGCAUUCAACGGUCCAACUAUGAAGUGGUGCAAGAUGAAGCCGACGAGUUUGCAAUGAAAGAAGAUGAAGAACCUCGUGAGCUCUUUCGAAGAGUAACCAAACUCGCGGUGGCACUUCGAGAUCAUGGAAGCAAGGACACGGAUGACAAUUGGAUCAAGCGAAAGUUCCUCAAGGCCAUGAUGCCCUACAACAAAGCCAUGUCCUCCGUCAUUCGUCAACGACCGGACUUCCACACCAUGACCUCAAGUGAAGUGUUGGAUGAAUUCGUUGCAAUGAGCAUCUUGGACAAGACCGCCGAAAAUGCGGUGCUCCGUUCUCAAAGAGCUAAGAAGCCUAACCUUGCCUUGAAGGCCAAGGUCAUUGUCGAAGAAGAGGAAGAAGUGGAAGAUGAGGAAAGCAACCCCGAAGACACCAAGUUCGACUACCAUGAGCACAUGGCCCUUGCUUCAAGACAAUUUUGGAGCAAGAAGAGCUCAAGACCCAACUUCAACAAGAAUAACUCAAGUGGCGUCAAGGGCAAGCAACGAGUUAGAACUUGCUUCAACUGUGGCAAUGUGAGCCAUUUCGUUGCGGAUUGUCCUUACGAGAAGAGGGAAGACAAUGGUGGCAAGUUCAUUCGGAAAGACAAAGCCAAGUCCGUCCCCAACAAGAACAACUUCGCCAAGAAGACUCCCACUCGUGGGUUGUUGGUUCAAGAAGAUACCAAGAGGAUGAUGAUGAUGAUGAGAAUGAAGAAGCAACGGCCAUGGCAUCCAUUGCCAUUGCUACUCCUCGGGUGUCUCUCUUCGAAUCACCCAACGAAAACAUCACCGCUAGAUGCCUCAUGGCGAAGGCUUCAAACAAGGUAACCCCCAACAUCACAACCACCAUCAUUUCUAAUCCCUCCAUGGAGGAUUGCAUUGAUGGACAUGUUGAGUCUAAUGAGGAAGUGAAUGAAUUAGAGUCCUUCAUGAGUAAGCUAAAGGGAAAGUCCAAGAAGCACUUUGUUGCUCUCUUGGAACAACUUGGUGAGGCCAAUGACAUGAUCGAGGCUCACGAAGAAACCAUCUCCAAGAUGGAAGGUCAUAGUCGUGACUAUGCCGAUGAGAUAUCGGAUCUCUCAAAUGCUCUUGAGGAAGAGCGUGUGCAUCAUUUGACUCUUGAGGAGUCACACAAUGAUGCCCAUGCUAAGUUAAAGAAAGAUCUUGAUCAUGCUCUUGUCAUGUCUCGUGUGCUAACCUCCGAGAAGGCUAAACUUGGGGUUGAUCAUGCUAGACUCAAAGAGGAGUUUGAGAUACUUGACAAGGCUCACAAGGCCUUAAAGGGUACUCAUGCUACCCUCAAAGAGUCUCAUGCUCAAAUCCAAGUUAAGCUAAUCAAGGAAAAAGCCACCUUUCGUCAUAUGGUAUUAAUUGAUAAUGCAUGUGCUACUAACCCUUGUUGUGAGCAUGUGCAUCUUAUGGAGGAAAAUGCUAGGUUGAAGGAUCAACUUGAGAAGGGCCUUGUGACUUGCAUUCAAGGUGAGAAAAACCUCAACGACCUUUUGAGCAAUCAAAAGAAAGUUGUGGGCAAAGAAGGAAUUGGGUUUGCACCCAAGUCCAAGAGCCAGAAGAAGAAGAUCAACAAGGCCAACCGUCCUCCUCCCCUCAAACAAACUUUUGUGAAAGAGGGAGACGGAGCUUCCAAGAAGAAGAAGGAGAAAGUGAAGGAAGUUGAUGUUCAAAAGGGCAAGAACGUUUCCUCAAACAAAGCCGGCGACUUUAACCCUUCAUAUGUGUUGUGCCGUGCUAGUGAUGGACAUGUUUAUGCUAAAUUUGUUGGUUCUCCUUAUGAGUACAUUGAAUGGUCUAUUUGGGUUCCCAAGGCCCUUGUUACUAACAUCAAAGGACCCAUUACUAAAUGGGUACCUAAAACCAAGCAUUGAUCUCGUGUAGGUGUUUGCUUCCGGUGGGGGAUCAUGGUUGCUCGAUAGUGGAGCAACAAAUCAUAUGACCGGGAGCAAGGACUUGGUGGUGGAUGUGCAAGAGACUCCAUCUAUGCCCACCAAUGUCGAGUGGGGUGAUGCAUCACAUUCUAAGGUACUGGGCCUCGGCAAGGUUGUCAUUUCUCAUGAUCUAACGAUCGAGAAAGUCAUGCUUGUUGAGUCCCUUGCAUUCAAUUUACUUUCCGUUCGUCAACUUGCACUCAUGGGUUUUGCCACAUUCUUUGAUAUUGAUACCGUGGCCCUCUUGUGGAGCAAGACUCUUAAAGUAGCCUUUGUUGGGCAUGUCGAGAACGGUCUCUAUGUGGUUAACUUUUCGGAGCAACCCACUAAGACCGCGACAUGCCUAAUGGCUAAAGUUGACGUGGGAUGGCUUUGGCAUCGCCGUUUGGCCCACGUCAAUAUGAGAUCUUUGCAAAGUCUCCUCAAGGGGGACCAUGUUCGUGGACUAACAAAUGUGAGUUUUGCCAAAGAUCGUGCGUGCAGUGCUUGUAUCGAAGGAAAGCUUCAUGAAAAGGCACACCCUCCCUCAACCAUCAUCUACUCGAAGAGACCCUUGGAGCUCCUUCACAUGGAUCUCUUUGGGCCUCCAUCUUUUGAUAGUCUUGGAGGAAGAAAGUAUUGCUUGGUGAUUGUGGAUGAUUACUCAAGAUAUACUUGGGUAUACUUCUUCAAGAGGAAGAGUGAGACCCAACAAACCAUCAUCAACUUUGCAAAUGAAGCUCAACGUCAACAUGAUGCAAAGAUCUUGACAAUAAGAAGCGACAACGGCACCGAGUUCAAGAACUACACCUUGGAUGAGUUUCUUAGUGACGAGGGGAUCAAGCAUCAAUAUGCGGCACCUUAUACCCCUCAACAAAAUGGUGUUGCGGAGAGGAAGAACCGGACGUUGAUGGAUGCGGCAAGGACCAUGAUGGCGGAGUUCAAGUCUCCAUACAACUUUUGGGCCGAAGCCAUCAACACAGCAUGUCAUGCAUCCAAUCGGCUCUAUCUUCGCAAAGGCUUGAACAAGACUCCUUAUGAGAUCCUCACCGGCAACAAGCCCAACCUCAAGUACUUCCGGGUGUUCGGUUGUAAGUGUUUCAUUCUCAAGAAAGGUGUUCGGUUGUCUAAAUUUGAAGCUAGAGCUCAUGAGGGCAUAUUUGUUGGUUAUGCUACAAACUCUCAUGCUUACCGUGUCCUCAACAAGUCCACCGGACUCAUUGAGGAGACGUGUAACGUGGAGUUUGACGAAAAUAACGGCUCCCAAGUGGAGCAAAGUGGUACUUGUGAUAUAGGUGAUGAAAUUCCUCCCCAAGCCAUAAGAAGAAUGGGUAUUGGUCACAUCCUACCCAUUGAGGAACCCCUUGUGGCCGAAGGAGAAGGGCAAUGCUCUACUCAAGUAGAGCCAUCACCUCAUCAAGACCCACACGCUUCCGAAGAACAACGUGAAGGCCCUCAACCUCGUGAACAAGACCAAGGGCAAGAUCUACCUCAAGACGGUGAUGAACCACUAAAUGAUGCCCAAGGUCAAGUUCUCCCCCUCGAGCUAGUUCAAGAUCAAGAUCAACCUCAAGAUCAAGAACAAACUCAAGACGGCGCUCAAGAUCAUCAAGUCAACCCUCCUCCUUCCACACGCGAGGAGGAAUUAGAGCGUCGUGCCGCGAAGAUUGCUUCCAAGCUCACAAACCAAGGCCAUCUCAUGGAAAAUGUGGUUGGAAGCCUUCGUAAAGGGGUAAGCACUCGUAGACAAUUGGCAAACUAUUGUGAACAUCACGCGUUUGUCUCUUGUGUUGAACCCCAAAAGGUCUAUGAGGCGCUCGAAGACCCGGAUUGGCUCAAUGCCAUGCAUGAAGAACUCAACAACUUCGAGUACAACAAGGUGUGGAGAUUGGUGCCAAGACCAUCCGGGAACCACAAUGUCAUUGGGACCAAGUGGAUCUUCAAGAACAAGCAAGAUGCCCAUGGGAACAUCAUUCGCAACAAGGCAAGAUUGGUAGCACAAGGCUACUCCCAAGUCGAGGGUAUCGACUACGGUGAAACCUUCGCUCCUGUUGCUCGUCUUGAAUCCAUUCGUCUGUUGAUUGCUUAUGCUUCCCAUCACAACUUUAAGUUGCAACAAAUGGAUGUGAAAAGUGCUUUUCUUAAUGGUCCCAUUAAUGCAUUGGUCUAUGUCAAGCAACCCCCCGGGUUCGAGGAUCCCUACUUUCCGGAUCACGUGUAUCAACUCGAUAAGGCACUCUAUGGCCUUAAACAAGCCCCACGUGCGUGGUAUGAUCACCUUACCGAGUUGCUACAAGAUCGUGGUUUUGAAGUAGGGCUAAUCGACCCCACUCUUUUUACUAAGAAGGUCAACGGGGAGUUGUUUGUAUGCCAACUAUAUGUUGAUGAUAUUAUCUUUGGUUCCCCUAACAAAGCUUUCAAUGAAGAAUUUGCCGCUCUCAUGACCUCCAAGUUUAAGAUGUCUUCGAUGGGAGAGUUGACGUUCUUCCUUGGUUUCGACAUCAAGCAAAGAAGAGAAGGAACCUUCAUCAACCAAGCCAAAUAUACUCAAGACAUGCUUAAAAGAUUCAAGCUAAGUGAUGUCAAGCCGGCUACUACACCAAUGCCUACCAAGUGCCAACUUGACAUCGAUCCCAAUGGUAAAGCGGUGGAUCAAAAGGUAUAUCGCUCCAUGAUUGGAUCCUUGCUUUACCUUUGUGCAUCUAGACCGGAUAUCAUGUUGAGUGUGGGGAUGUGUGCACGUUUUCAAGCCGCACCAAAGGAAAGUCACUUUGUGGCGGUCAAACGAAUCUUUCGAUAUUUGGCUCAUACCCCAAACUUUGGCUUAUGGUACCCAAGAGGAGCAAACUUCAAGCUUGAAGGUUUCACGGAUUCCGAUUGGGCGGGAGACAAAGUGGAUAGGAAGUCCACUUCCGGAGGGUGUCAAUUUCUUGGCUGCUCUUUGGUAAGUUGGUCUUCCAAGAAACAAAGUUGUGUGUCUCUCUCGUCCACCGAAGCGGAGUAUGUGGCGGCCGGUAGUUGUUGUGCUCAACUCCUAUGGAUGAGGCAAACUUUAAAGGAGUACGGUGUCACUUGUGACAAAGUGCCUCUUUGGUGUGAUAAUGAAAGUGCCAUCAAGAUUCCCCUCAACCCGGUGCAACACUUCAAGACGAAGCACAUUGAGAUUCGGUAUCACUUCAUUCGGGAUCACAUUCGGCGAGGGGAGAUCGAGCUCAAGUAUGUCAACACUCAUGAUAACCUUGCAGAUAUUUUCACGAAGCCAUUGGAUGAAGCAAGAUUUCGCGAGUUAAGGCAUGAGCUAAAUAUCAUUGAUUUGAGCAAUGUGACUUGAACCCGUGCACCCCCCACCACACUCAACUUGUUGUCUAGUUUAGAUGUAGGCAUGGACAUAGGGGGAGUGUUGUUCUCUCAAUGAACUCUCCCUCCCCCCAUUAUGCAUAAAUAGAUCACCUCUUUCACAUUAGCCAUUUUUGAUGGUACUUGUGCUUCAAAGACGAGUUUUGGUCAUGGGCCCAAGGAUAAUUCUUCGCGGUGCCAUACCAUCCAACUCAAACAUAGGUGGCUUCGGCCACCGCCCUCUCUCUCCUCGAGAGACCUUGUUUCUUAGGGUUUUACUGUUGUUCCUUUGCUUUUGUGCUGCUUUGGGUUGUGUCUGUUUUUCGAUGCAAAGGCGUGUUUUUCUCUCUUGUUCGAAACCCUCGGUGGCAUGAGCUCACGGUACUACCGCGGUCGGUCACGGUACUACCGCGGCCAAUCACGGUACUACCGCUGAUGGGAGCACGGUACUACGCACCCAAGCGGCAUGAGCGCACGCCUGAUGGAGCGGUACUACCGCCACGGCGCGGUACUUCCGCCCGGGCGGUACUACCGCGAUGACCCGCGGUACUACCGUGCCGGUUCGGGCUCGCGGGGAUAAGGUCGGGGAGGGGGAGUUCUAACUCCCCCAUACCCAUUCGUCCCUUUCUCUCCUCAUAGCCCGUUCCUCUCUCGUGCUCACGAACGGAGCCGGCGUUCGUCGCCGGAUCUCCUCCACCGGCUGCCCUCCCGUGAUUCCGUCCGGUGGGAUCGUUCCCCACCACGUGCUCUUGCUAUGGACCAAGGUUUUUCCCCAAAUCCUUCUCCGUGUUGAUUGUAUUUGGUUUUUCUAGGUUUUGGGGGAGGCUUGCAUGUUCUUGAGAUUUCUCGGCUAGAUCUCUGCAAGAGUAGGAUGAAGGAGUGUAGUAUUGCAUAGGAUUUAUACUUGUAUUGUUGUCUUGCUCUAGAUCUGGUCACCGUAGCACCGCCAUGGCUUCGCGGGUCUUUUCAGAUUCAAAUCCUGCUUGAUCCGACGCGACGCGGUACUACCGCCCGUAUGGCGCGGUACUACCGCUCCCACGGUACUACCGCUUCUAUGGCGCGGUACUACCGCGCGCCGUGCGGUACUAACGUCGUACUACUGCCCCAGCCACGGUACUACCAUGACCCCUCACGGUACUACCGUAUCUGGAGCUCUAAUAAGACCUUAGUAUCACACCCCAUGGCAGUUCUACCGUCGGUCACCUCUAUCGCAUGCUAACUUUCUCGUUUAUCUUCUAUGGGUUUCAUGUGCAGUCUUUUUAGCCUUUGCAUUGAUCCUUUUCGACUUGUUUUGGUGCUUUGCGUGUGUGUUUUAGGUGGUGGCUCUCGCCGGGCCAAUCCCGUCCGUGACACUGGUUCCAAGCGUCUGCGCAACCCAGGCGAAGGUCCCGAGGGAUCAUCUGCGUCGAAGCGCAAUGUCAAGUCCAUCGCCAGCAAGCACAAGGAGCCCGCCAGGGGCAUGGAUGAGAUAGGCGCUCGAGAGUAUGUCCGUAUCAGGCAGCUUCACCCAUAUGCGACUCCACGCUCCACUAUCAGAGGAUGUGAACUGUUCUGGAACAAGACUCAAACCCAGAUCUACUUGGAUGUCAUCAAGAACAAGCAGAAUACCUAUGUAGAGGUGAAGUGGAUUGAGAUGCACCACAUGAGGAAGGACAAGUUUCGUGACUACUUUGGGGAGGCUCUGGACUUGGUGGAGCAGUUUGCCAUUGAGCAUGUGAUCUCGUUCCACAUGGACUAUGACCCUGAGAUCAUUUGUCAGUUCUUUGCCUCAGUGUACUUUCACACCAAUGAUGAGAGGAGGAUGACGUGGAUGACCAAUGGCCGCCAGCUGUCUGCUACCUGGAAGGAGUUCAUGGAGUUACUUCAAGUUGCUGAUGAUGGACUUGACACUCCUGUUGGUGUUCGCCCUCACGGCAAUACUGACUCUGCUGACAAGGACAAGCUCACUCCGUUCAUGGUUGAGAAGAAGCUCGCCACUGGCAAGAUAGUCUCGGUUCUCAACCCGUUUCUGGAUAUCAUGUACCGCAUCUUCCGCAACUCUCUGUUCCCACGCAUCGGUGAUAAAGACAAGGUUCAUGCCUACAUGGUGGACAUGAUGCUUCUGUGCGAGGAGGCUCGCUCAUCUCAGACUCAGCCACUUGAUGUCUCUCACAUCAUGUGGUGCGAGCUUCGGUUUGCUGUGUUCAACCGCAAGGUGCCUAUUUAUGGACCCUACUUGUUUCUGCUGAUUUCGAAGACUUGGGAGAAGAUGUACCCCAUGGAGGAGUUCCUGGCUCCAGACUGGGUUCGCCAUGAGCCCAUUUGUCUGAGGGUCAAACCCAACUGGGCCAACACUGCUACUCGUGCUGAGGCGUCUGCUGCUAGGGCUGCUGCUGUUGAUGAGGAUGCUGCUGGAGCUGAGGAUGUUGCUGGGGGCCGUUCUGCUAGGCCUACUCAGAGUGACUCUAGGCCAUCUUGGGCCAAGAGGUUGACGGAUAAGAUGAAGUCACUUUUCUGCAUGCAAGCCAAGGGACAGUACAGGGCUCACGUGGAGUCCAAGGAGAGUCGUCGCCGGCACAACAAGAUCUUGAAGCUCUAUGGCGAGGAUGUGUCUGUCGGGUCUGAGGAGCACAUCACUCCUGAGACCGAGUGGAUGGAGAAGCAAGGAUUCAAGUGGACUGAUUCUGAGGAGGAGGCCGAGGAGUCCAUUCCAGCUGCGGAGGAGUCUGAUGCAGAGGAGUGGGACAGUUUCUCUGCUUGAGCCACCUCUUGUGUGUUUAGGUGUCCUCUCUGCCUUUUUGGCGUCUCGAUGCCAAAGGGGGAGAGAGCGUAGGGAUUUGGUUUUGCGAGUUUGUGUGUUUGCCAGUUGAGCUCUUUGCUGCUUCUAUCGUUUGAACCUUGGUUAUCUUAUCUCAUAUGGUGUAAGACAUAUGCACUCUAUCUAUCCUAGCUAGCUUGUGUUAUUUUGUGCUUCUUUCAUGCUAUGCUAGGCUUAUUAUCAUGUCUUGGUCUCUAAAAUAUAGGGGGAGUGUUGAUCCUAGUUUGUGUGCCAUGCAGUCCAAAGCAUUCAUAUAUAGUGCACAUAUCUAGGGGGAGCCCCAUCUAUAUUUUAGAGGAGUGGGGUUUGCCACUGCUUUAAACAUAUCUUAUCUAUGUGCAAAUCCCGUGUUGUCAUCAAUACACCAAAAAGGGGGAGAUUGUAAGGGCAUAUUUAUCCCUAAGUGUUUUGGUGAUUGAUGACAAUACUCGUGCAGACUAAUCGUGUGCCUUGAGUCCCACAGAUACUUCUUCAUUAGGCACAAGAUGAUUCGGUGCCCCUCGAAGACUAGUGAAGCCGUCGUUGUUCUACGUUUCUCUUUGGUGGAGUUGAGUCGUAGGAGAGCCGUACUAUUAAGAGGGGGUCCGCGUCGGAAAGGUAGGGUGGAAUCUCACGUACACUUGCCCCUCCUUUCCUUGCACUUUGGAGCUACCCAUCGUUAUCAUUGUUGUGCGAAAAACUGACGACUACUGCUGUACUUGCGGUAGUACCGCAAGUACACGCGGUAGUACCGCGACAGGUCACGGUAGUACCGCCCCUCUGGCGCGGUAGUACCGCGGUACCUUGGCCUAGUGCCGCUCCAGUGCGGUAGUAGGGGCGGAUGUAAUUUUUUACAUCCGCGCCCCUCACGGUAGUACCGCUCCUCUGGUGCGGUAGUACCGCCGCACUCUGGCCUAGUGCCGCUCCGGUGCGGUAGUAGGGGCGGAUGUAAUUUUUUACAUCCGCGCCACCCACGGUAGUACCGCUCCUUUGGAGUUGUAGUACCGUGGCCCUUCUGCCUAGUACCGUUGCGUCGCGGUAGUAGGCGCGGAUGUAAUUUUUUACAUCCGUGCCUACCACGGUAGUACCGCGCCUUACAGGCGGUAGUACCGCGUCGGGUUUUUGCACCACCCUAGUUUCUGCGGAAGUUGACACGGAUGAAAUUUAUUUCGUCCGCGCCCUUCCCAGGCCGUGACCCUCCUGCCUUGCGGUAGUACCGCAAGGGGGAGCGGUAGUACCGCACCAGCGGUAGUACUGCUUCUAGCUCAGGCUUGUUCCGGCCUGUGCAGCUGCCACGGUAGUACCGUGAUCUCCCACGGUAGUACCGCGCGUCGUCGCGGUAGUACCGCUCCCUUAGAGCGGUAGUACCGUGAGUCGCGGGCAGAACUAGUGGAUAACGGUUGGAUCUUUUCCCCGACUAUAUAAGGGAUGUCUUCUACCUCUAGUUGACUACCUGUUCCACCUCCAAGCUCCAUUGUUGCUCCAAGCUCCAUUUUUGCUCGAUCUCUCUCCCUAGCCAAUCAAACUUGUUGAUUUGCUCGGGAUUGGGUGACAAGGGCCCGAUCUACACUUCCACCAAAGGAUAUUUGAUUCCCCCACUUAUCCCUUGCGGAUCUUGUUACUCUUGGGUGUUGAGCACCCUAGACGGUUGAGGUCACCUCGAAGCCAUACUCCAUUGUGGUGAAGCUUCGUGGUGGUGUUGUUGUUGGGAGCCUCCGAUUGUUGUGGAGAUUGCCCCAACCUUGCUUGUAAAGGUUCGGUCGCCGCCUUCAACGGCACCAAUAGUGGAAUCACGGCAUCUCGCAUCGUGUGAGGGCGUGAGGAGAAUACGGUGGCCCUAGUGGCUUCUUGGGGAGCAUUGUGCCUCCACACCGCUCUAAUGGAGACGUACUUCCCCUUAAAAGGAAGGAACUCCGGUAACACAUCCUCGUCUUCACCGUCUCCACUCUUGGUUAUUUCGUGCCUUUACUUUUGCAAGCUUACUUAUUGUUACAUCUCUUGCUUGCUUGUGUGCUAGUUGUUAUUGCAUCAUAUAGGUUGCUCACUUAGUUGCAUAUCUAGACAACCUAUUUGUUGCGAAUUUUAAUUUGGUAAAGAAAAACUUAAAAAUUGUUAGUUGCCUAUUCACCCCCCCUCUAGUCAACCAUAUCGUUCCUUUCAAAUAGUAUCACAGAGGCACUGAAUUUUUCCAGGUUGACCAAGACCCCUAAUGUUCCAAACAAGACCCAUCAUUAAUUAAUUUUAAAUGGGUGGGACAAGCCACAAGGCUUACUUUUAGUUAGCACCAUAGGUGUCCCCCUGGAAUCAUCAGCAGUGCCCACUGGUACCAUGGGAGGUAUACCAUCAGGUGUCCCAACUAACUCACUAGGAUCAAAAUCCAGGUUAUUAGGCAGCACAAUUUCAGGAUUGUUGUUGGCAAAAACCAAACACCUCUCUUUUUCUACCUCUAUCAUCUCAUCAAUAGUAAUGUUCUUUUGAUUAUCAUCCCCCCCAAUUACUAAGUUUAUUUGGUUCAUCUGGUUAGUAAGAGUAUUCUUAUCGAUAGUAGAAAAGGAUUUACCUUUGAAUGUGGGAGGAAUUUCCAGAUUCUUCUUCCUUUUAUAUGCUGCAGCUUUUUCCAUAAUGUUAAUAUUGCCAUGGCCUCUAGUAGCAGGUCUUUUGGCAACAACAGGUCCCCAUCUUGACUUGUUAUCCUGAAUAUCCUUCACAUUUUUGGCUUGAGAGAGUGAUUCCAGCAAUGAUCUCUUCCAAGUUUCACUUUGGAGAAUUUGAACAGCCUCAUGAGGGAGAACCCCCAUCUCAUCUUCUAUUCCUUCAUCUUCAGAGUCACACAUGUCCACUGGUCUUAACAGAUCCUCACAGUACUCCAUGUUCUCAGUUUUCUUCUCAGUAGUUAUGUUGGAUUUUCUUUCACUAGGAGCAGGAGUUUUGUAGGCAUCCCCUUCUUUCUCUUCACAACAUGUGUCUUGAUCCAUCAACUCACACUUAUAUCCAGAAGCAUGCCCAUGCCCAUCAGAAGAUGAACCCUUGGAAUUACCCUCUGUCAAAGCAUAUUCCAGAAUAAAGUUCUCCUGGUCAGUGUCUAUAUUCUCAUUCAUGGGUGCAUCCACCCUUCUCUGAUCAUCAGAUUUCCUUGCAGAGUUCUGUUUGGAUGAGAAGUUGGCCUUGUCCAGUUCAUCAAUGGCUGUGUCACCAGCUCCUGAACCAUCAGAAGCAUGGUCACCUUGGGUCCCUUCCUGUCCUUCUGUUUGGUUCUCCUCAGCUUUCUCAUCAUCCUCAAAAUCUUCCUCAUCACCAUCCACAUCAAUGAUAGAAUCUGCCCCACCAGUUUGUUCAAAACCUUCUACAGUGAAGCCAAGUAGAAACAAUUUAUUCUUCAUCUCAAUCAACCUUUCAAAAGGGAUUUUGGUAGGGUCUCUACAAGCAAUCUUGACUCUGACAUUCUCAAAAAAGGUUCUGAACAUUCCAUUCCAACCCACAUCUGUAAGGGCCCCAAACAACGAGGCAAUUUGAGAAAAUACUUUCCAAGUGCACCAUUUUGGAGGGAUCCCUUCAAUCAGCACCCAAGCUUCAAUCAAUUCACCAAAUGGUUCACAUCCACCUUUCCAUUCAGUAAGAGUUACAUUGACAUCCUGUGGCAGGGAGAACCCUGGCAGCUCAAUAAGAUCUUCCACUUUUUUCCAGGGAGGGAACCUGACCAAGAAGGUCUUACUAGAUAGCCCUCUAAUUUGCCAGGGCCAAUUUUUGGAUUUGCAAAAGGUAGCAGAGAGUAAUUCCCUCAACUUGGUACCAUUCACCUCUCCUUUCAAGAUGUUCACCACUGCACAGUUUUGGAAGUUCAACCACUUGGACUCAUUAGCAACAGGGACAUCCACAUGGUAGAAACCAAGCCCCUGAGCUCCACUACCAAAGAAAGCAGCCGUAGGCUGAACCUUAGACCAAGCUGCACAGUUGUUGACAUUAUGAUUCUGCUGACAGAUAAAACAGGCCUUCGGCUUCACACAAUUCCCAACAUAAUGUCCUGGUCCACCACAAUUGAAGCAGAUCAUGUCCUUAUACCUAGGGUCAAGAACUUGUUCCACCUCCACCUCCACGGACUGAGACGACUGUACCUGCGCGGAUCCAGCAGUAGAAGCUGUGGAUCUGGUGGGCUUGGGGGCAGGGGCCUGCUCCUUUGUUGCUGGCGCAGUUGGCUUCCGCCCAGCAGGGGCAGCAGGUUUCUGCCCCACCCCCUUGGUUGGAGCAGCAGGAUGGUUGCUUCCCCCAGCGCGACGAUCGGCCAUCUUCACCCCGCGCUUAACAGCUUCAGCGAAAGAGAUAGAACCAGGGCCGAUCCCCUCACGAGUAACUUUGAUCUGCUUGGGGGGUGGGUCGAACGAUCGACGAGUUGCAGGGAAACAAUCUGCAGCCGAAAAAGCUUUGCUCUCAACAAGGUCCCUCCGGAUCCAGCAAAGGAACCCUGGUUUUUGGUGGUCUUGAGGUCGAGGGGUAGGGUUUCCGGGAGGGCGGCGGCGAGGGGGGAGGGAACGAGCCAGAGCUGGCCAAAGUGCUCCUCCACGUUAUCUAGGGCAUCGGCUUUACGUAAUCCCCUCGUGGUUUCCGCUUUCUCCUCAACAACGCGUAAUUUAAUCGUGGGCCCAGGCAAGGCUGGAUUCACCCCACGGGAACGGCAGGAAACCCCCGUUCCUGGGACAGGGAUAGGAUUGGCAACUGAGGGAGUCCUGGAUUAGGGGGUGUCCGGACAGCCGGACUAUCAAUAUCCCCCGGACUCCCCUACUACGAAGAUAGAAGAUUGAAGACUCCGGCUCGUGUCCGGAAGGUACUUUCCUUGGCGUGGAAGGCAAGCUUGGCGAUACGGAUAUGUAGAUCUCCUACCAUUGUAACCGACUCUGUGUAACCCUAGCCUCUCCGGUGUCUAUAUAAACCGGAGGGCCUUAGUCCGUAGGACGAACAUUACAUCACAACAAUCAUACCAUAGGCUAGCUUCUAGGGUUUAGCCUCCUUGAUCUCGUGGUAGAUCCACUCUUGUACUACCCAUAUCAUCAAUAUUAAUCAAGCAGGACGUAGGGUUUUACCUCCAUCGAGAGGGCCCGAACCUGGGUAAAAACAUUGUGUCCCUCGUCUCUUGUUACCAUCCGCCUAGACGCACAGUUCGGGACCCCCUACCCGAGAUCCGCCGGUUUUGACACCGACAUUGGUGCUUCCAUUGAGAGUUCCUCUGUGUCGUCACCGAUAGGCUCGAUGGCAUCUUCAACCAACAACGCUGUCCUGGGUGAGGCUUUUCUCCCCGGACAGAUCUUUGUAUUCGGCGGCUUUGCACUGUGGGCCAAUUCUCUUGGCCAUCUGGAGCAGAUCGAAAGCUACGCCCCUGGCCGUCAGGUCAGAUUUGGAAGCUUAAACUUCACGGUCGAUGUCCGCGGAGACUUGAUCUUCGACGGACUCGAGCCACAGCCAAGCGCGCCGCGCUGCGACGAUGGGCAUGACCUAGCUCUGCCGCCGGACAGUGCACUGGUGGCCGCACUCGGAUCCGCUCCGGCCAUCAGCCCGGAGCCGAUCGCCCAUAUCGAGGGCCGGUGGUUGGAUGCCGCCCUGGGGGCUUCAACAUCUACGGCGAUGGAGCCGAAUACCUAUCUUGUCCCCAGCGAAACUCAUGAUCCUGAGGCGCCGGACUCCUCGCCGGACUCCGAGCCUCCCGCGCCCCUACCAGUUAAUCCGGAUUGGGCGCCGGUUAUGGAAUUCACCGCCGCGGACAUCUUCCAGCACUCGCCUUUUGGCGACAUCCUGAAUUCCCUGAAGCAUCUCUCGCUAUCAGGAGGGUCCUGGCCGGAUUAUGGCCAGGACGGUUGGAGUUCGGACGACGAAGAAAUUCAGAUCCCACCCACCACCCACUUUGUAGCCACUAUCGAGGAUUUAACCGAUAUGCUAGAUUAUGACUCUGAAGACAUCGACGCUAUGGACGACGAUGCUGGAGACGAACAGGAACCAGCGCCUAUAGGGCACUGGAAAGCCACCUCGUCAUAUGACGUAUACAUGGUGGACACCCCAAAAGAAGGGGAUGGCGAAGAGGCAGCGGAGGCAGACUCUCUAAAGAAGCAGCCCAAACGCCGGCGUCAGCGGCGCCGCUCUAAAUCCCGCCACAACAAGAAUAUAGAUUCCGGCACAGGAAAUAACAAUACCCCAGAGAGUGCCGAAGACAACCCCCUCCAGCAAGACCCAGCGCAGGAGGAUGCAGAAUCAAGCCCUCACGAAAGGGCGGAAGACGAAGAGGUUGAGGAUCAUAACUAUAUACCUCCCUCCGAAGACGAGGCAAGCCUCAAUGAGGACGAGCUCGCCGCGCCCGAAGACCCCGUCGAACAAGAGCUUUUUAAGCGCAGGAUCAUCGCUACAGCAAGAAGCCUGAAGAAGGAAAAGCGGAAGCUCAAAACAGCGGAAGACACACUCCGAAGGAGAUGGAGCAAAGUACUCAAAACCGCAGAUAAAUACGGCAAUGGCCACCAAUCGAAGAGCUACCCGAAGCGUAAGCUGCUUCCAGAAUUCGACGAGGAGGCCAUAGAGCCCCCACCGUCCAAUGGCCCAGCCAGGUCCAUCUAUGGACCCAAAAAGAAAGCCCCACGAGGCAAAGCAACACGUCAAGUAUCCGACGAUAGCGGCACAUACAAGUACAGGGGCGCCGCACACCCACUAUGUUUCACCGACGAGGUGCUGGAUCACGAAUUCCCAGCAGGGUUUAAACCCAUAAACAUAGAAGCCUACGAUGGAACAACAGACCCUGGAGUCUGGAUAGAAGACUAUAUAUUGCAUAUACAUAUGGCCAGAGGAGACGAUCUCCACGCCAUAAAAUAUCUACCCCUCAAGCUCAAAGGGCCAGCCCGUCAUUGGCUCAAAAGCCUCCCAGAAAACACUGUUGGAAGUUGGGAAGAGCUCGAGGAAGCGUUUAGAGCAAAUUUUCAAGGGACUUAUGUCCGGCCUCCGGAUGCAGAUGACCUAAGUCACAUAACUCAACAGCUCGGAGAGUCAGCGCGGAAAUUCUGGAACAGGUUCCUUACCAAAAAGAACCAAAUAGUCGACUGUCCGGACGCCGAAGCCUUAGCAGGUUUCAAGCACAAUGUCCGAGACGAAUGGCUCGCCAGACACCUCGGUCAAGAGAAACCGAGGACAAUGACCGCAUUAACAAGCCUCAUGACCCGCUUCUGUGCGGGAGAGGAUAGUUGGCUAGCAAGAAGCAGCACUAGCGACCCAAGUACAUCCGAGAUAAGAGAUGGAAACGGAAAAUCACGGCGCAGAAAGGAGCAGCGCCGGAAUAAAGAGAAAAGCCCAAAGAGCACGGCAGUUAACGCCGGAUUCAAAAGCUCACGGCCAAAUAAUAAAGCUCAGCCCCUCAAGGAUGACAGUGACGAACUGUCUAACCUACACAAAAUCCUGGGUCGGAUAUGUCAAAUCCACAGUACCCCCGGAAGGCCCGCAAAUCACACCCACAGGGAUUGUUGGGUUUUCAAACAGUCUGGCCGAUUAAACGCCGAACACAAGGGGCUCGACGCGUCAAGCGAAGAAGAUAAACCCCGCCAGCAGGGCACCGGAAAACAAAAGACUUUCCCACAAGGGGUCAAAGCAGUAAACUCACUCCAUGUGAGGACACGGAAAAACAGUGCGGCACUUUCUAAAAAGAGCUUCGCACGGUCCAACCCAGCAGACCGUAGAGAUUGGAUAUCAAAGCCAAUCACUUUCGACCACCUGGACUAAUCCAGAAGCGUUCGAAACGCGGGACGGACUCCCCUGAUAUUGAAUCCGAUAAUAGACGGAUUACAAUUCGCAAACGUCCUAAUGGACGGAGGCAGUGACUUAAACCUGCUAUAUUCAAACACAAUCCGUCGGAUGGGGAUAGACCCCACCAAAAUUCGACACAGCCGCACUUCCUUCAAAGGAGUGACGCCAGGCCCUUACGCCAAGUGCACAGGCUCGAUAUUACUAGAAGUCGUGUUCGGAUCGCCGAACAACUUUCGACGCGAAAAAUUAAUUUUUCAUAUUGUCCCAUUUAAAAGUGAAUAUCAAGCACUGUUGGGACGAAAGGCUUUUGUCCGCUUCAACGCCAUACCGCAUUACGCGUCUCUUACACUUAAGAUGCCCGGUCCACAUGGCACCAUUUUAGUGCGAGGGUCACUUAAAGACCCCAGACUCGGAUAGACGAAUCCGGACUCACCAGGCUAGGGGCUCCCUAGCCGCACACCCUUUUCACAGGGGGCUGCGCGCACAACUGAUCGCGGUUUCAUAUAAACCUUGCUUUAAUUAUUUAUAUCUCUUCUUUUGCAUAUUUUUCGCACGAACUGUUUCUAAAACUAAACGUUCCUCUCUUUCUACAGAUGAACAACGUGCGUACCCGUCCAGGAUAACGGCGCAACGGAGACACAGGCGCAGACGUGCAGUAGGGACCCGUUGCAAGGAUUCUUUUCAGAUUAAGACCCUACGUAGACCUUUUUAUUACUGUCUCUUGUUGUUACUCUCCCUCGGCUCCUUCCUAUAGCCAAAGCGGAGCCUGACGCUUUGGCAUCGGCCGCGUCAGAAGACCAUGCCCGUACCUGGACACUAAGGGCUUAGGGCAUAAUUCUGUCCAUUAUUAUAAAGUCCGAACACCUUCGGGAGUGUUCGGCGUCUCGAGUUAGGCACUAUAUGCAUCAGCUCCGAAUCAUGUCUUUGGUCAAAUGUUGGGUUUGCCCGGCUCCUGUGUUUUGCUGCCUUACGUUCCGUAUCACCCGGCUAACGCGGCACUAGGAGAACUACUGCGAUUGUGCCCCAGUUCGGCUGGGCGAGCACCUCAGUAGAGAAAGCCGAAAACUGACUGUCAUGAUAUAGCGAGAGUCUGGUCAGUCACUCGAUCGACUAUCGGAAUGUUUAGAAUUCCCCGCUUUGACGAAGGACCGUUUCCCGGUCAGGCACAUACGCACACCCGAAUCCGGAGAUGCGCGGUGCCACCAGGGGCUAUAUCGUAGCCCCACCCUCGAGCUCCAUUGGCUAAGUGAAAGAAAUAAAGCACUAUAGUCCGGAUUGCCUCGUUCGCUACGCUACCACCUCCUUAUAACAGGACCGAGACGUCGGAUUAAGUGUGAAAACGCGAUAUUUUGCGAACACCCCAGCACCUUGUGCAAGGGGGCCGAAGCCGAAGACUGCAUCUUUCAGGUUAUACACAAGUAUACGAAAAACGGCCGCACAGGAGAAGUUUUACUACUUGGACGCACAAGUAUAAAAAGUCGUCAUACCAUAAUCAUUGAUUUAUAAGGUACUGCGUUCGUUUGAACGUUACAUUCUUUGAGCACUGCGCCUCUACUUUACGAGCACCGCGCAUGACUUCUCCGAAGUAGUGCUCGGCAGGGAGCCGGCUUUCAUCCGGACACUGGGUGGCAACGGCGGUGGCAUCCAUCUCCGGAUAAUGCACCUUCACACGGGCAAGAGCCAUCCGCGCGCCCUCGAUGCAGGCCGACCGCUUCAUCUCCUUUAUAUGCGGCACCGCCCCAAGGAAUUGCUGCAGUAAGCCAAAGUAGCUCGUCGCCUUGGACCUCUCUGGCCAGACAUGGGCCACGAUGUCAGUCAUGGCCAGUCCGGACAGUCUAUUUAGUUCGGCCCAUUCGGCCAACCUGUCCGUCAACGGAAGAGGGCGAUCCGGACUGUGGAAUUGAGACCAGUACAACUCUUCCGCCUCGUGAUCCCCCUGGCUCCGGAAGUGCUUAACGGCAUCAGCCGCACUCGCAGCCAAGUCCAUAUACGGAUCCUCCGAACUCCACAGCCGCUCAAAUUGAGCGUACUUGGCAUCCAUAAACCGACGACGCAUCAGAAAAGGCUUGCCAGCCGUGAUUUCUCCGGCUUGGCGCAGCUCCUCCUUCAUAGCCUGCAUUGCAGAGCGGGCAUCCUUGGCUUCGGCGGUGGCCUUCGUCAGGUCUUCCCGCUCCGAUAAGCGCUCCUUUUCAAGAGCCUCAUCGCGGUCGGCAGCAUCCUUUAAUUUUUUGGCCAAUUCGGCCACCUCCGCCCUACUUAGGCAGUGCGCAGCCUUUUUGGCCUUCAACUCUUCAGCCGCCCUUGCGGCAGCCGCGUCACUCCUUCGGGCUUGCUCCUUCGUUAGAGCAAGUUCGGCCGGAAGGCUCUCCACAGCAGCAGCACUAUCUGUAUUAACAACAUAUAACUAAUAAGAGGCGGGCUUUGAUCCACUCAAUAAAGCGGCUGCGGAGAAUUUAUUUACCUUGCGACUCGUCAAGUCGCUGGUUGACAAGUGCGAUGUCAGCAUCUGCCACGUCAACUUGUCGACUUAAUUCGGCAAACUCAUCAGUCCGGCUGACCCCUGGACUAUCCGCCACCUGUAUCAGAACGGCGGUAUUCAUUACCUGAGAUGUUGAGAUUUUGAUCCUCGGCACGCUGUCGUUUUCGACAACCUACCGAGUCUCAGGGGCUACUAUCUACACAGGGCGCAUUUUUUAUAUGCAAAACUGUUAAAAGACAAAGGGGUGCACCAUUUUCGCAUACCUCAAAUCCCGCCAGCAAGCUCAUGGCGGCAUUACGCAAUCUGCUUUCAGCGGACGAAAUCCUUCCAAUCACCAUACGCAUUAAUGCGCGGUGAUCUUCUGAAAUGGACGCCCUCUCAAGCAAACUCUUCAGUUCUCCCAGCCGGACUCUGGUGGGUGCCGAACUCUCUGGCCCCUCCGGACUCGGGGACGCCCUCCGUGACGACACUUCGGGCUCGCCUGCCUCAUCUGGCGGCGCUGCAGACGGAGGCGUAUCGCUCUCCAUCAUCUCCGGAAGAAGGUCCCCCGAAGAUGAACUCAUCUGAGAAGGCUGCAGAUCCGAACUGCGAUAUAAAUAUUUCGGUUACCUACAGAAGCACAAAUGAAGGUACUUCCUUAUUAAACUUCUUCUUUCAUACUCACGGCUCGUUGGAGGGCUGGUCCUUCGGCGAUGAUUGCGCGCCCGGAUUUUCUUCGGACGCCGGACCCCCCGGUGAGGAUUUCUUCCCACGCUUAGGGGCUUUGACCUCCGGAUCUUCGGAGGCGGUCCUCUUCUCCCUCUGAAGGGAGGGAUCCUUGGUUCCCUCCUCUUCAGUCGCCCCUUUGGGCAAAGUAUUAGCUCCUUUAUUUCCCCCGUCGCCCCCCUCUGUGGGCGCAACCUCCAACAUUCUGACCAGCACGGGCUCCAGUGCGGUCUCUGGGAGGGGGGCCGGACACCUUAUCAGCCUUGAUCGCGCCACCCAUUCCUGUAAAGAACAAAGGGUCAGGGGACGAACUUUUGAAAGGCAUACAAAUAGAAUGUCCGGGCUCUGAGCUAUUUACUUGAGUAUCCGGGCGAUCGCGGCUUAAGCCUGCGUCCUCGGCCGAAUCCGGACACGCCACUUGCGGUCCGAAGAACAACUUGUACAUCUCCGUGGGUGUCGCACCCAUAAAAUGCUGGAGAAUACGAGGUCCCUCCGGAUUGAACUCCCAUAAACGGAGAGGACGACGUUUGCAGGGUAGGAGGUGCCUGAUUAGCAUGACCUGCAUCACCUUGACCAGGUCGAUCUCCCUUGUUUGGAGGUCUCGAAUCCGGCCCUGCAGUGAGGGCACGUCCUUGGACGGCCCCCAGUUGAGCCCUUGGUUGACCCACGACAUCAGUUGCUGUGGAGGUCCUGGGCGGAAGGAGGGCGGCGGCUUUUGCUUGCCGCCCCUUGGAGCAGUGAUGUAAAACCACUCCUUCUGCCAUAAACCCAGUUCCUCUUGGAAGGAACCUUCGAGCCACGGGGCAUCGACCUUCUUGCUUAUGGUCGCCCCGCCGCACUCCGCUUGACGCCCCCCGAUCAUCUUCGGCUCCACCUUAAAUGUUUUCAGCCAUAGGCCGAAGUGAGGGGUGACGCGGAGGAAGGCUUCGCAGACAAUAAUGAAUGCGGAGAUGUGGAGGAUGGACUCCGGAGCCAAAUCGUGGAAGUCCAGCCCAUAGUAGAACAGGAGCCCUCUCACGAAGGGAUCCGCCGGGAAGCCUAAUCCCCAACGGAGCUGAGAUGCGAAAACGACGUAUUCGCCGGGCUCGGGGGCUGGCACGGCCUGCCCUGGGGCAGGCAACCUGUGCGAAACUUUGUAGGCCAGGUACUUGGCCUCCCGCAACUUCAAUAUGUCCUCCUCCGUGACGGAGGAGCGCAUCCACCGGCCCUGGAGGUCGGAGCCGGACAUUGUUGAGGAUCCGAAGCGCUCGAAUCUAAAGCUCUGGGUGUUGGAACUGGGAGCGAAGGAAAGAUUCGAUGCGAGGUUAAAGAACCAGGACAGGCCUUGGUCCUCUUAUAAAGGGGGAAGAAAUACCAAGGGCCGUCUCCGUGACCGUUUAAGAUUCCCCUUCGAUAGAGGAGGCGUGGCGACGGGAACGGUUGGGUUACCCACGCACGUAUGGAUGAGGAUCCCGGAAUAAAAGGGAACACGAUCUCUGCUUCGACAGGACGUGCCAAGGAAACCGCUUCGCUAAACGUGCUGAGGCGGAAUAAUAAAAACGAUUCAAACGAGGGCUUGGCUGCGGUGUGAUGUCACGCCGCAUAAUACGUCAGCAGAUUGAGCUAAGUGUAUAUUUUAUUCUCUCUACGGUGGAAUGUGGAAAUAUUCUUGCAGAGCCGGACACUAUCCUGGUGUUCAUUAUCUUCUCUGGAUCAUUCAAGGAAGGAACCCGCCUUGCAACGCCGAAAAUUGUGCACGCCGGACUUAUCGUCAUUGAAGACUGGUUCAGGGGCUACUGAGGGAGUCCUGGAUUAGGGGGUGUCCGGACAGCCGGACUAUCAAUAUCCGCCGGACUCCCCUACUACGAAGAUAGAAGAUUGAAGACUCCGGCUCGUGUCCGGAAGGUACUUUCCUUGGCGUGGAAGGCAAGCUUGGCGAUACGGAUAUGUAGAUCUCCUACCAUUGUAACCGACUCUGUGUAACCCUAGCCUCUCCGGUGUCUAUAUAAACCGGAGGGCCUUAGUCCGUAGGACGAACAUUACAUCACAACAAUCAUACCAUAGGCUAGCUUCUAGGGUUUAGCCUCCUUGAUCUCGUGGUAGAUCCACUCUUGUACUACCCAUAUCAUCAAUAUUAAUCAAGCAGGACGUAGGGUUUUACCUCCAUCGAGAGGGCCCGAACCUGGGUAAAAACAUUGUGUCCCUCGUCUCUUGUUACCAUCCGCCUAGACCCACAGUUCGGGACCCCCUACCCGAGAUCCGCCGGUUUUGACACCGACAACAACCAAGUCGAGUCCCUCGCCGGAGCACUUCUCCGACGAGGUCUCGCCCGCCGCAGAAGCAGCCGCAGUUUCCUUACCGUACUGAGAAACCAGAGGGAGAACCCCCGAAUCUAUCUCCACAUCCUGAACUAUUGUAUUAGAAAUCGAACCCGAUUGAUCAACGAAACCAACAUCCUUACGCAUUCUCUGGCGACGCAGUCGAAAAUCCCGCAGCCUGGCUUUCAGAGUUGAAUUAGCACGAAAGUGUAAACCAAACUCACCAGGCCAUGGAGGAGGAUCAAUGGCGCGGCGCUGUGUCUGAACCAGUUGGGGAAGACGCUCUACUGGCGGCGCGGAGGCCAGACGGUCCCCGCGGGGAUGAACUCCGGCGGGAUCCUGGCAAUCCCCUCCCACGAAGGGGGCCUGAUGUUGAGCCUUGAGGGAUUCGCCGUCCUGAAGUUCUCCCAGCGGGCGGCCUGCCGCGGAUCUGACGAUUCCGCCUCCUGAAUCGCCCAGAAGAGGAGCUCCACGUCCUCGCAGCCAUCGUCGCCGAUGAAGCGCGCGCGCUCGACGAAGUUCGCAUGGCGGAGGAUGUGCAUGUGGAUCUCCCCCCACUCGUCGCGGUCGGGGAAGCGCUCCAUCACCACCCGCCUCAUCUCGCGGCGAGCCUCUGGCGAGUGCGGAUCGAUCUCGGGUAGCGGCGCUGCAGUUGGCGGUGGAAGCGCCCGCGGCUCCGCAACCCGCG
rnacentral:lncRNA from 1 species